AUUCUAGUAAAUGAUGACUGAAACUUUUUUCCCCGUCUUAUCGAUAAUGCUGAUUAUUUAAAGAUAAGCCAAAUAUGUCUGAUGCUAGCAU